rnacentral:tRNA from 2 species
CAAAGCGUAGCUCAGUGGUAGAGCACUUGCAACGCAUCUGCAAGAGGUCGGGGGUUCGAUUCCUUCCGCUGUUG